rnacentral:rRNA from 1 species
CCUACGGGUUGCACCAGUGGGGAAUAUUGCACAAUGGGCGCAAGCCUGAUGCAGCCAUGCCGCGUGUAUGAAGAAGGCCUUCGGGUUGUAAAGUACUUUCAGCGGGGAGGAAGGUGUUGUGGUUAAUAACCACAGCAAUUGACGUUACCCGCAGAAGAAGCACCGGCUAACUCCGUGCCAGCAGCCGCGGUAAUACGGAGGGUGCAAGCGUUAAUCGGAAUUACUGGGCGUAAAGCGCACGCAGGCGGUCUGUCAAGUCGGAUGUGAAAUCCCCGGGCUCAACCUGGGAACUGCAUUCGAAACUGGCAGACUAGAGUACUGUAGAGGGGGGUAGAAUUUCAGGUGUAGCGGUGAAAUGCGUAGAGAUCUGAAGGAAUACCGGUGGCGAAGGCGGCCCCCUGGACAGAUACUGACACUCAGAUGCGAAAGCGUGGGGAGCAAACAGGAUUAGAUACCCGGGUAGUC